GCGAACGCUGGCGGCAGGCUUAACACAUGCCAGUCGAGCGGGCAUCUUCGGAUGUCAGCGGCAGACGGGUGAGUAACACGUGGGAACGUACCCUUCGGUUCGGAACAACUCUGGGAAACUGGAGCUAAUACCGGAUACGCCCUUAUGGGGAAAGGUUUACUGCCGACGGAUCGGCCCGCGUCUGAUUAGCUAGUUGGUGGGGUAACGGCCUACCAAGGCGACGAUCAGUAGCUGGUCUGAGAGGAUGAUCAGCCACACUGGGACUGAGACACGGCCCAGACUCCUACGGGAGGCAGCAGUGGGGAAUAUUGGACAAUGGGCGCAAGCCUGAUCCAGCCAUGCCGCGUGAGUGAUGAAGGCCUUAGGGUUGUAAAGCUCUUUUGUCCGGGACGAUAAUGACGGUACCGGAAGAAUAAGCCCCGGCUAACUUCGUG
rnacentral:rRNA from 1 species